UCAAAAUAAAACCUUAUCUUUCUAAAAAUAAUUACAUUAUUUAUCUUUAAUCUUAUCUUUAAUUUUAUUAUGGAUUAUGAUGGAUGAUUGUAAGUAUAUCAAUCUAAAGAGAUAAUCUCUCUAAUGCUAAAAGUUAGUGAAUAUCUUCAUUAUUAUUUACAUGAAAAUAUGAUUCCUAUUGACAUCAAGAUAAGAUUUUUUCGUAUCAAAUUUUUUUAAGAAACAAAACAUACUUCAUCUUUUACCUUUUAACAUAUUCAUUUUAACUCAUUAAUUUUUUUUAUUUGAUUUUUGUAUUUUAUUUCAUGAUCCGUCAGUAUUGUCAAGUUGGGAAGAUGUCGAAAGACAAUGAGAAUAUCAUAUUUAGAUCAAAUAGUUUUUUUUUUUUAUUACUUUAAGAUGAUAAACCUUAGUACAAGUAAAAAAAAUUUGAUUCAAAAUCAGAUCUUUGAUAUCUCUUUAAACUUUUUUAACUACUAAACUAAAAGUUUUGGAACAAAUUAAAUAGUUGAUUCAUAUGUAAGAGAUGAAUUUUUGUACAUUGGAAUUCAAUCUCCAACUUUUAUAGUUUUUUCUAAUAUUUUCUUAACAAAAUCAAGCUUAGUUUAAAUAAUUCAUUGAUUUGAAAUGGAUUUUCAUAAAGUUUGAAGUUGAUUUAUGACACUUACAAUUUUUUUUUUAAGUUUCCUCAAGCAUUGACCUUCUUUCUAUUAAAAAAAAGACAAUAUUUUUUUAAUUGAUUUCAAAAACUAAAUUAUUAUGAAUCCACUAACAUUAUAUUAGAGGAUGGAAUUUGACAAAAAAAAAGAGAAUAUUCUUUUAAUUUACUUUAAAAACUAUAUUAUUAUGAAUCCAUUAACAUUAUAUUGGAGGAUGAAACUUGAGAAAAAAAAAAUGAUUGAAUGAUUGAAGUUGUUGUUUGAGUACUUGAUUGCAUAGGAUAAUGGUUUUGUUGCAACUAGUAGUCAGCAUGCCUUAUAUCGUGGGAAUACUAUAAAAAUUCUCAUCUUCCCACUCCUUUUUUUUUUUUUGGAAUAAUUGAAAUUUUAUUCCAACAUUUAAAAGCAAGAAAUAGAGUCAUCUACAAGCAUGUCGAUUAUCGCAUCAAAGAUAAUAUCUAACAUAAACAAUCUAAAAAUUACCAAAAAUAACAUCAAAUUUAGGCUCCAUUUGGUUUCAACUGUACCUCCAAUGGGGUGCAGUUGCCAACAAAAAAUGUGUUUAUUGGUGUUUAACAUCCAUUUAGAUAUCAAAGCUAUGGCACAAUUGUCUACUUUUUUUCAAGAAUUUAGCUUUAGUUGAAAAAACACACCGACCUUCAAUUUUUUUUCCUUUUUUCAUUUUUUAUUUUAUAUUACAAAG
rnacentral:lncRNA from 1 species